UGCGAAGGGAAGGUAUUAGCACCCCUACGCAUCCGUAGUACUCUACGGGAUCCACUCUUGUUGUUCUUGUCUAAAGGGUGUGUGUAAUAUCUAAUGUAUUAUUUACUAAAAGAGGGGUCAAAGAAAAUGACUCGCACGGAUGUUGCAUCCACUGCAUACGUAUCUCAUUUGAAUAUGAGAAUCAGAGUCUUCGUAGCUCAGCUACCUAAGGGUUAAGGAUAAGUGUGCUCGCUAAGACAUCGCGUCUUAUGCCUACGUAUCUCAUCGGGAAUGAGAAUC
rnacentral:lncRNA from 1 species